rnacentral:rRNA from 1 species
GAUGAACGCUAGCGACAGGCUUAACACAUGCAAGUCGAGGGGCAGCAUAGAAGUAGCAAUACUUUGGUGGCGACCGGCGCACGGGUGAGUAACGCGUAUGCAACCUACCUAUCAGAGGGGGAUAACCCGGCGAAAGUCGGACUAAUACCGCAUAAAACAGGGGCACCGCAUGGUGAUAUUUGUUAAAGAUUAAUUGCUGAUAGAUGGGCAUGCGUUCCAUUAGGUAGUUGGUGAGGUAAUGGCUCACCAAGCCGACGAUGGAUAGGGGAACUGCGAGGUUGGUCCCCCACACUGGUACUGAGACACGGACCAGACUCCUACGUGAGGCAGCAGUGAGGAAUAUUGGUCAAUGGGCGAGAGCCUGAACCAGCCAAGUCGCGUGAAGGAAGAAGGAUCUAUGGUUCGUAAACUUCUUUUGCAGGGGAAUAAAGUGGAGGACGUGUCCUCUUUUGUAUGUACCCUGAGAAUAAGGAUCGGCUAACUCCGUGCCAGCAGCCGCCGUAAGAC